rnacentral:lncRNA from 1 species
UUCAGAAACAAAUCAGGCAUUGAGAUCUUGGAGAACAGUGUAAGUAUCAAUAGGUAAUUUGUAUACACUUCUUUCUUUUCAUGUCUUAAAAAUUUUGUUAUUUGAAUUGAGAAUAUUUAUUCAAAAAAGUACAUAAAAUGUAAGCAUGUGGGCUGGGGUUGUAGCUCAGUGGUAGAGUGCUCACCUCACAUGUGGAAGACACUGGGUUAGAUCCUCAGCACCACAUAAAAAUAAAAUACAGGCAUUUUGUCCACUAAAAAAAUAAAUAAGCAUGCAGUUUAAGGAAUAAUUUUGAAGUAACUACAUAUAUAACCAAUACUUUCAUUUAACAGAACAUUGAAAGCAGCCCAGAAACUACCUCUGUACUCCUCAAUCACAUCCAUCUUCCUCACACACCCUUUGCUAAUUACCACUAUUCUACCUUUUGUGAUAACUUUAUCUCCUUGUUCUUAUAGUGGAAUCUAUGUUAGUAAGCCUAAACACAACAGUAACCUCUAUUGGCUUUUGAACUUAUGCCUGUUUUGAACCUCACCACCUUUUCCUGAAAAGUGUAUUUUUCUCUUUUUUACUGCACUGCUACCAAGUGGCACUAGGAUAUAUCCAUUUGUGUAUGUCUCUUUCUGAAUUUUUUGUUCCUUUUCUUUCUCUGUGCAAGUAUACUGUCUUCAUCACUAAUCGGAUAUAUUUUUUAUAUUUGGCAAAACAAGUACUCCCAAUUUAUUGUUAUGUAAUAGUGUCUUGGUUAUUCUUAGACCUUUGCAUUUUCAUUUCUUAAAUUUGUAACUGUAAACAUGCAAACCUGUCACUCUUGGAGUUUGCAGUGAUUUUGCCAAAAUUUGUAAUCUCUUAUUUACUUGAACAUGAAAAACAAUUAUUUUAUAGUCUAUAUCUAAUAAUC